rnacentral:rRNA from 1 species
AAGAAACCAACAGGGAUUGCCUCAGUAACGGCGAGUGAAGCGGCAAAAGCUCAAAUUUGAAAUCUGGCUCUUUCAGGGUCCGAGUUGUAAUUUGUAGAAGAUGCUUUGGGUGUGGCUCUGGUUUAAGUUCUUUGGAAUAUUACAUCAUAGAGGGUGAGAAUCCCGUAUGUGACCAGUCGCCGCGCCCGUGUAAAGCUCUUUCAACGAGUCGAGUUGUUUGGGAAUGCAGCUCAAAAUGGGAGGUAUAUUUCUUCUAAAGCUAAAUAUUGGCCAGAGACCGAUAGCGCACAAGUAGAGUGAUCGAAAGAUGAAAAGCACUUUGGAAAGAGAGUUAAACAGUACGUGAAAUUGUUGAAAGGGAAGCGCUUGCAACCAGACUUGCACGCAGUUGAUCAUCCGGUGUUCUCACCGGGGCACUCUGCUGCGUUCAGGCCAGCAUCGGUUUUGGUGGUUGGAUAAAGGCCUUGGGAAUGUAGCUUCUUUCGGGGAGUGUUAUAGCCCUUGGUGCAAUGCAGCCUACCGGGACCGAGGACCGCGCUUCGGCUAG